AUGUCUUAAACUUAGGAGUAAGGAAAAUAACAAUUCAGGGUGAUGCCUGAAUCCUCACUGCUAAUGUGAAAUGAAUUUUUGAAUAGGUUAAGGUUGCCCCUUGAUGACCUGCCUACUUCUGCAGAUGCCUGAAGGAGUAAUCUGCCUG
ensembl:snRNA U12 U12 minor spliceosomal RNA